rnacentral:rRNA from 1 species
AGAGUUUGAUCCUGGCUCAGGACGAACGCUGGCGGCGUGCCUAACACAUGCAAGUCGAGCGGAGGUACAAUGAGAGCAAUCGAGAUGUACUUUAGCGGCGGACGGGUGAGUAACGCGUGAGCAACCUGCCUAUCACAGGGGGAUAAGGCGGCGAAAGCCGCUCUAAUACCGCAUGAGACCCUCAAAGCGAUGCAAUGGGGGUGAAAGGAGCGAUCCGGUGAGAGAUGGGCUCGCGUCCGAUUAGGUAGUUGGUAGGGUAAGGGCCUACCAAGCCAAUGAUCGGUAGUCGGCCUGAGAGGGUGAACGGCCACAUUGGAACUGAGAGACGGUCCAAACUCCUACGGGAGGCAGCAGUGGGGAAUAUUGGGCAAUGGGCGGAAGCCUGACCCAGCAACGCCGCGUGAGGGAAGAAGGUUUUCGGAUUGUAAACCUCUGUUCUUGGGGAAGAGGAAGAGACGGUACCCAAGGAGGAAGCCCCGGCUAACUACGUGCCAGCAGCCGCGGUAAUACGUAGGGGGCGAGCGUUGUCCGGAAUGAUUGGGCGUAAAGGGCGCGCAGGCGGCCUGUCAAGUCAGUAGUGGAAGUCCAUUUUUCAAGGAUGGAAGUGCUAUAGAAACUGAUGGGCUUGAGUGCAGGAGAGGUUAUCGGAAUUCCCGGUGUAGCGGUGAAAUGCGUAGAGAUCGGGAGGAACACCAGUGGCGAAGGCGGGUAACUGGACUGCAACUGACGCUGAGGCGCGAAAGUGUGGGGAGCAAACAGGAUUAGAUACCCUGGUAGUCCACACUGUAAACGAUGAAUGCUAGGUGUAGGGGGUAUCGACCCCUUCUGUGCCGAAGUAAACACAAUAAGCAUUCCGCCUGGGGAGUACGGUCGCAAGAUUAAAACUCAAAGGAAUUGACGGGGGCCCGCACAAGCAGCGGAGCAUGUGGUUUAAUUCGAAGCAACGCGAAGAACCUUACCAGGUCUUGACAUCCAUCUAAAGCUGCGGAGACGCAGUGUGAGCAAGCUCGAGAUGAGACAGGUGGUGCAUGGUUGUCGUCAGCUCGUGUCGUGAGAUGUUGGGUUAAGUCCCGCAACGAGCGCAACCCUUGCCGGUAGUUACUAACGGGAAGAGCCGAGGACUUUACCGGGACCGCCGGGGACAACUCGGAGGAAGGUGGGGACGACGUCAAAUCAUCAUGCCCCUUAUGACCUGGGCUACACACGUGCUACAAUGGCCGAGACAGAGGGCAGCGAAGGCGCGAGCCGGAGCGAAUCUCAAAAAAGCGGUCACAGUUCGGAUUGCGGGCUGCAACCCGCCCGCAUGAAGCAGGAGUUGCUAGUAAUCGCGAAUCAGCAUGUCGCGGUGAAUACGUUCCCGGGCCUUGUACACACCGCCCGUCACACCAUGGGAGUUGGUAGCACCCGAAGGCAGAGAGCUAACCGCGAGGGGGCAUCUGACGAAGGUGAGAUCAAUGACUGGGGUGAAGUCGUAACAAGGUAGCCGUAUCGGAAGGUGCGGCUG